GGAAUCAGAAUAAGUCUAAUUACUAGGAAACGGCGGAGUUAUGCAAAUUACAAGCCACACGGAGCUCCCACGUCCCGUAAAGUAAUCGUGUCUUUUAAACGGACCAUCUUUCGCAUUCUAAACAGGCAACGCUCUUUUCCAGAAUUUUCCGAGUUAUUCUGGGACACUUCUCCACUCCGCUUAUUUAACCGCAUUUUCCUAAUCCAGGUCUACGCAGAGCCCUGAAAGCAUCAGACGGGACCUAACGGCGAACCGUCCCGCUGCCCGCGCCCCCAGGACUCGGCCCCACCCGCCACGGAAAACUCUGGGAUCCCCUGUGGGCCAGUCGCAGAGGGGACGCCUCCGAUCCGCGCGGGACAGGAGUUGCGAGGGACAAGUGUUCCCGUCCCUGCGGGAAGCCGGGCUGAGGGAGGGGAAAGCGGGCGCCGGAGCCGACGAGAGUCUACAACGCGAAAUGAACAAGGACCUAAGGAUUUCUUGGGAGCCUCGCAGCACAAGGGAUAACACCUAAGGAGGGACCAGGCAGAAUGACCAGAGGAAGUCAUCACGUGCAUAUUCGAGGCCACCAAAGCUAGACGUCCGGGCCCUUGUCUUUGUUCUGACCGGUUCCUGGAUGCCAGGGAGGGCAUGUCAACCAGACCCCAAUCCUCAGAAAAAUUGCCAGGCCCCACAAAGGUUUGAUUUGUAUCCUGUGCACAGAGACCCUCCUGGCUGAGCCCGAGGGACCCCCUCGAGGGUCGUCGCACCCGGCCUACCUGCAUCACCGUGGCACCCACGAAGGGACAGUCCGAGGAACGGUGACACGCAGCACAGCGUGGCCUCUGGGGAGCUGGUAAAUUCCUCCUCUGGGAAAGCGA